rnacentral:rRNA from 1 species
CAGUAGCCGCGGUAAUACGAAGGGUGCAAGCGUUAAUCGGAAUUACUGGGCGUAAAGCGUGCGUAGGCGGUGAGUUAAGUCUGUUGUGAAAUCCCCGGGCUCAACCUGGGAAUGGCAAUGGAUACUGGCAAGCUAGAGUGUGUCAGAGGAUGGUGGAAUUCCCGGUGUAGCGGUGAAAUGCGUAGAGAUCGGGAGGAACAUCAGUGGCGAAGGCGGCCAUCUGGGACAACACUGACGCUGAGGCACGAAAGCGUGGGGAGCAAACAGGAUUAGAUACCCGAGUAGUCCCUGUCUCUUAUAA